rnacentral:rRNA from 1 species
UGGGGAAUAUUGCACAAUGGAGGGAACUCUGAUGCAGCGACGCCGCGUGAACGAAGAAGGCUUUCGAGUCGUAAAGUUCUUUUAUAUGGGAAGAUAAUGACGGUACCAUAAGAAAAAGCCCCGGCUAACUACGUGCCAGCAGCCGCGGUAAUACGUAGGGGGCUAGCGUUGUCCGGAAUCACUGGGCGUAAAGGGUUCGCAGGCGGAAAUGUAAGUCAGGUGUAAAAGGCAGUAGCUUAACUACUGUAAGCAUUUGAAACUGCAUAUCUUGAGAAGAGUAGAGGUAAGUGGAAUUUUUAGUGUAACGGUGAAAUGCGUAGAUAUUAAAAAGAAUACCGGUGGCGAAGGCGACUUACUGGGCUCAUUCUGACGCUGAGGAACGAAAGCGUGGGUAGCAAACAGG